CACGUAGGGUGCGAGCGUUGUCCGGAAUUAUUGGGCGUAAAGAGCUCGUAGGCGGUGUGUCGCGUCGGCCGUGAAAAUCCGGGGCUCAACCCCGGACUUGCGGUGGGUACGGGCAGACUAGAGUGUGGUAGGGGAGACUGGAAUUCCUGGUGUAGCGGUGAAAUGCGCAGAUAUCAGGAGGAACACCGAUGGCGAAGGCGGGUCUCUGGGCCGUAACUGACGCUGAGGAGCGAAAGCAUGGGGAGCAAACGGG
rnacentral:rRNA from 1 species